CCUACGGGUGGCAGCAGUCGAGAAUCAUUCACAAUGGGGGAAACCCUGAUGGAGCGACGCCGCGUGGGGGAAUGAAGGUCUGCGGAUUGUAAACCCCUGUCAUGUGGGAGCAAAGUAAAAAGAUAGUACCACAAGAGGAAGAGACGGCGAACUCUGUGCCAGCAGCCGCGGUAAUACAGAGGUCUCAAGCGUUGUUCGGAAUCACUGGGCGUAAAGCGUGCGGAGGCGGUUUCGUAAGUCGUGUGUGAAAGGCGCGGGCUCACCCCGCGGACGGCACAUGAUACUGCGAGACUAGAGUAAUGUCGGGGGAACCGGACUUCUCGGUGUAGCCG
rnacentral:rRNA from 1 species